rnacentral:tRNA from 1 species
GUCCGGCUGGCUCAGUCGGUGGAGCAUGUGACUCUUGAUCUUGAUUUCGUGAGUUCAAGCCCCAUGUUGGGUG